rnacentral:rRNA from 1 species
UACGUAGGUGGCAAGCGUUGUCCGGAAUUACUGGGUGUAAAGCGCGUGUAGGCGGGAGGCCAAGUCUGCUGUGAAAUCGCUCGGCUCAACUGGGCGGGGUCGGUGGAAACUGGUCACCUGGAGGACGGUAGAGGCGAGUGGAAUUCCCGGUGUAGUGGUGAAAUGCGUAGAGAUCGGGAGGAACACCAGUGGCGAAGGCGGCUCGCUGGGCCGGUCCUGACGCUGAGACGCGAAGGCGUGGGGAGCGAACGGG